GCCGUGCAGGGCUGGGGGUUGCAGAGCUGCGGGGCCACAUCGGGGCUGGGCUGGCGCGGAGACCCUGUGCCCCGGUGCCCUCGCGGGUCGGAGGAGGAGCCCCGAGAGCAGAAGUGGGCGGGCUUGGGCGCCCGGCCGCCCUGGGAACCUCUACCUGUCUCCGCCUCUGCUUGGGUCCCCCUUUCCCGUAGGCUGGAGGGACCUGAGGUGAUAGUGCUGGGGACACUUCGCUAACACCAGCCCCCCAUGGCCAGGAGUGAAGUUGUGCCGCUCAGCAGCAGCACCGUGCAGGUGUCCUGGGGAACUUCGGAUGGGAAAAAAGUGUGAGCCGGGGCAGCCGGGGUUUAGCAUGGGCUUGUUCUGAAACUGCCCGCGCGAGCGCUGGGAAGACCUGGACCGCGUGCCCGGCGCUCGGGGUGGACUCGCUGCUGAGCACAGAAUGACUGGGACCGGGCCACCUGGCACUCGCCACUCGGUCUCUGCGUUCGUCCGCUGAGUGCCGGGUCGCCUCCUUGCUUUCACACACACUGGGGUCUUAUCUUUGCCCUUGGCCUUUCCGGAGCUGAAAUAAACCUUGUGCAGAAAUGUGUUCAGAA